rnacentral:lncRNA from 1 species
ACUACAUGCAUCGGUACUGUACACGACCGAUCACCCUAAAAAAGUUCGUCGCCUUACCUUACGGGAAGUAUAAAUUGUACAUGAAGGGUCUGAAGGAUGGAAAAAGACAAGUUUGUGUGCAGCUGGUCAUCGAUAUCUACGAAGUCGGAUUUUUCCAAGCUCUGGGAUUCAAGCCACCUUUGGGAGGUUCAGCAUGGGGCCGUGGCUGAUCAACACGUACUUCAGCAAUGGUUGUGCACGGAUAGUGGCCUAGCAUAGCACCUUAUGUACAGCUGAAGUAAGGAAGUACAGUGUAUUUACUUUUUA